UACGUAGGGGGCAAGCGUUGUCCGGAUUCAUUGGGCGUAAAGAGCUUGUAGGCGGUUUGUCGCGUCUGCUGUGAAAAUCCGGGGCUCAACCCCGGACUUGCAGUGGGUACGGGCAGACUAGAGUGUGGUAGGGGAGACUGGAAUUCCUGGUGUAGCGGUGGAAUGCGCAGAUAUCAGGAGGAACACCGAUGGCGAAGGCAGGUCUCUGGGCCACUACUGACGCUGAGAAGCGAAAGCAUGGGGAGCGAACAGG
rnacentral:rRNA from 1 species